UUGGCAUUCUGCUAUGGUACAUUGGAGUAUGUGGAUGAAAAAUUAACAUGUUUCAAAACUAUCGGUCUGCAACCGUUGGUUCCAGGGCCAGCUUGCUAUAGGGCUUGUGCCCACGUAUUACAAAUACCGCCUGGUUUAGUUGAGUCCCCCAGAAAUAUCCCGCAAUAACCUUGAGCUUGGAUUUUCUCUGUCUCGCUUAAGAGAGUCUGGAACAGCAGAACCAGAAAUCACUCCAACUGGUACCUCCAGGAUGCAAAGUGAAGUCUCUUCUCUGGACACUGUUUCUUUUGAGCUACGGGGUUGACUUUCCCAUCCAAGCAACUGGGGAGAAUGGAGCAAUGCAAUGAAAUCAGGGGGCUGGAUCUGCUGUGAAGCAGGGCUCUGCACAGCUGCAUUGGGUGUACCCCUCUCCUGGCUUCAUCAGCGGAGUAGUUGAGGGAGGAACUGCAAUCUGUCAAAGCAGUAAGAGGCAGGAAUUAAAUGCCUCCUGUACACAGGGCAAAAACCUUUCCUGGGCCUGAGCUGGCUGAAGGCAGCGUGGCAUUGCUGAAGUUAGUGGUGGGUCUUUGGAUCAGGCUUUGCACUGUCCUGUGUCUCAGGAAGGAGAUUAGACUAGUUUAACGUUUGUGUAAGUUCAGGUGUGUUCUCCCUGCAUCUCCCCAGCGUGUGUUUGCCUGAGCAGGCGUGCUGACUCCUGAGCAAGUUCCAGCCUGCCCCCCAAAUUUAGGCUGGCUUAGGUGGGAGCAGAGCCUGUUAGAGAGGCUUCUGCAGAUGUCUGACUUGCUUUUCAUUCCUUCCCUUGCUAAGAGCAACAUCACCAGCUCUGGGCUCCCCCGGCAUCACUUCAGCGCAAGGACCCGUCUGACACUACUUAUGCCAGGUCCUGCCUCCCGCGCAGGAGAAGCAGUCUGCAACUUUUGCUGCUCCAGGCAGCACUUCAUCUCUGAGCAAGCAGAGCUCUGCAGAGUGGAUUUGGGGAAGGAGGCAUUUUAAGGGGAGGCUGUGGUCCUUCCCCCCACCUCCCCCCUCCACCCGCAGGGUUGUCUUUUAUAAUUGAUAAAAGAUGAAAAGGAGUCCAACUUAUGGUGGGGGAUUUGCUAAUUAAACUUCAUCCAGUUUGUGUCCUUCCUGCCUUUUUCAUUCUCCCUGGGACCUGCAUGAGGGAGGCUGAACCAGAACCGAUUCUUUUUUUUUUUUUCU